rnacentral:misc_RNA from 1 species
AGCUUAUAUUAUGAUUUCUGCAUUGUGAUAUAGCCACAUUUAAGCCUCUGUAGCUUUUGAACAUUAAUUAUCUACAAUUGCAUUGACCCCUUUUUCCUGCAAUUUCCAAGUCAAGUAUGGUCAUGAAGACUACACAUUAAUUGAUGACAUUGGUGGUUCAAGCAUGCUCCACAUUCACAUCAUAUUUAAGGCUUAAUUUUUUAUGUGCAAAAGAGGCACUGUAACAAGGUAAAAUCAUGUUUAACCCACAAGGAAAAUAAGUUAUUGAGUUCCAGAAAAAAAAAUGAGGAUUAUUUCUGAAAUCAUGUGUUACAUAUCAGCCUGCACACUUCUAAAACAGAGGAAUAGGGAGAG